AAGGAACUGAACAGCCUUUUUGCAGACGUUGAUUCCAAUUGGAAAUUCAACCCUAAGUCAUUAGCUGACUUCCGGAAGCAGCUGGCUAUCUUGCACACUGCGGCGAACUUCACCUUGACGAAACAGAACGCGCCGCUCAACUCAUGGAUCACGUACGCCACCUUGCGAGGCACACGUGAAGUGACGACAGAACUACACCGCAAAUUACCUGAGAAGCCGCCAGAGUUCCAGACGGGACGGUUCAGGAACUGCAGUGUUGUCGGAAGUAGCGGCAUCCUGACCGGAAGUGGGUGUGGAACUCAGAUAGACUCCACGGAGUUUGUAAUCAGGUUUAACCUCCCACCCUUGGAGGAGGGCUAUAUCCCGGAUGUUGGGCGUAAGGUGGAUCUGGUGACCUGUAACCGUUACCGACUGAAGACGCAGUAAGUUCGCAUGUUUCACACAUCGCGUUCAUGAAUACCGCAGAGAGAUAUACUUCUGGUGCUGGC